UAGCUUAGAUGGUAGAGCGCUCCACUGAAAUUGGAGAGUCCCUGGUUUGAUACCUUUUUCCAGG
rnacentral:tRNA from 1 species